CUGGCUCAGGAUGAACGCUAGCUACAGGCUAACACAUGCAAGUCGAGGGGCAUCGAGAGGAAAGCUUGCUUCCUGUCGGCGACCGGCGCACGGGUGAGUAACGCGUAUCCAACCUUCCCCUUAGUAGGGCAUAGCCCGGCGAAAGUCGGAUUAAUACCCUAUGUUUUCCGAUGAGGACAUCUGAGCUGGAACAAAGAUUUAUCGCUAAGGGAUGGGGAUGCGUCUGAUUAGGUUGUUGGCGGGGUAACGGCCCACCAAGCCUACGAUCAGUAGGGGUUCUGAGAGGAAGGUCCCCCACAUUGGUACUGAGACACGGACCAAACUCCUACGGGAGGCAGCAGUGAGGAAUAUUGGUCAAUGGGCGCGAGCCUGAACCAGCCAAGUAGCGUGCAAGGAAGACUGCCCUAUGGGUUGUAAACUGCUUUUAUGCGGGGAUAAAGUGCAGCACGUGUGCUGUUUUGUAGGUACCGCAUGAAUAAGGACCGGCUAAUUCCGUGCCAGCCGCGGC
rnacentral:rRNA from 1 species